GACUUUGAUAGUCAUCCAUCGCGUCAAACCUAUACAUCCUAGAGAUCAGCCUCCAGAGGUAUGAAACCUACACUUCUAAGUGCACUAUCUACAAGAAACGAGUCAUGGAGAAGGUCAAGGUUUUGAGACUUUGGGGUUCAAUUAAUCUAUCAACAAAUGAAGUCAUUAGUGCUGAUAUGUUUUUAGUAGAUAAGAAGGGCAAUACAAUCAAUGCUUCUAUUGGAACUAAGCUGAUCAGCAAGUUUAAGUCAAAGUUUAAAGAGAACUCCAUCUACAUAUUGAAGAACUUCAGUGUUUGUGAAUAUGACAAGUAUCGACCUUUGAAAAAUAAUUUCUGAUACAACGGUAAAGGCAGUUCUAGAAGAAUCACGGAACUUCUGGACUAUUACUUUGAGUUUGCUGAUAAUAGUACCUUAUGGAGUAGAGAAAGUAACGAUGCAUAAUGUUCAGAUGUUAUUGGCAUGCUUAGAGUGAUAAAAACAAUAGAUAAGGACAUGUCAAAUAAGAGCACUUCAAACAUCCGUAUAGACAUUCUUUUGUUGGAGUAAGUCAGUAAGUUAUAGCAUUAUUUAGCAAAAGAUUUUGCC